rnacentral:lncRNA from 1 species
GCAGGCUUCAAACAAUGGGAAAAUGGAGCAGACUAAGAAAUGAGUCCUACUUUGGAUGUGUGAAGUUUGGCUUUGGUGGCAUCACUCUGGGGAGGCUUCCUUGAGCUUCCUCCACUGCCCCAUCCCACCUGUGCCAGUAAGCAUCACUCACUCUCUUGUGCUCUCUUGCAGCCCCCUGCUACCUGCUUCCAGCUUUCACAUUGAGUCACCGUGUAUUUGCUUAUCUAUCUCCAUCAACAAACUCCUGACCUAGUUGAGGGCAGGUUCCAGCUCUAGUCAUUCUUACCUAUGUUGCAUAAGCCAGUGCUUCUUAAACAUUAUGAUGCCUCCAAAUCAUGAACCACAGGGAUCUUGUUUAAAAAGCAGAUUAAUUCCACAGGUGUGGGGUGUGGCCUGAGAUUCUGCGUUUCCAACAGGCUCCCAGGGAUGCUGAUGCUGCCAGUCGAGAACAACACUCCAAGUAGCCAGGCCCUAAGCAACUUUUGAACAGGGCCUCUGUUUCACACCUCGGUGCUGAGAACACAAUACAAGGUUUGAAUGACUACCCGCCCCAGUUGUUAAAUGACUAGCUGCCAAAUCUACCUAACAAUUCUCAUGUCUAAUAAACCCGCAAUAGGACCUCCUAUACUCAGGAUACUUGUUACUGGAAACAAUUCGGGUGCAGACAAAUGGAUGACUAGCCCCUCAUCAUAGAAAGGCUCCACGUGGCUCACCUCAAUAGCAAGCAGACGCCUUCCUCCCCAUCCCCUGAAAUCUGUCGACUCUGUCAUUCCCAACAGGUCAGCUAUCUUCUCCCUCCAUACGUUGUUUGUUUUCUUUGUAGCAUUACUACUCACUUUUUAAGAUCAUUCUACUCAUGAAUCUCUUUCCUUAUUGUCCAUCUUCCCACUGGAGGAUAAGGUCCAUGAAAGCAUGUCUGUCGUAUCCCAUCACUUCAUCAGUGCAGAAUACAGUGCCUUAGGCAAUGGAAUUCCAUGCACUUAGGCAUUGGAAUUGGGGCACUGGUCUUCUACAAAUUCCAGUGGACCCAACCCUCGAGGUGUGCAGGCUUUUGAACCACUGUUGCUCUUCCGGUUAUAAACACUGAAUGACUCAGAGCCAGAAAGGCAGAGAUCCAAUGGACACCAUCAUGUUUUCACCCUGGAGCAGAGGCAGGGAUUCAUCAGGAGAGCGCUCCAUUGCUUUUAACCUCAGUUGGCAUUUCAAAUGUUGGAAUCCUCUGGAAAUGCUGAUUCACAUGGAAAAACAAACGGGGCUCAUUCUUUUGUGACGAUUCUUAUUUGUGAGGAUCCUAGGACCUCCUGUGCUGUUAACGUGUGUUCAGAGGCUGAGCAAAGCUCUCCAUUUUCAUCCCAGUGUAAUAGCUGGAUCUUAAGUUAGCAUCAGGGAAGCAGCCUUAUGGAAAAGAAGGAAUUUUGUGAGUAUAUAUGACCCUGACUCACUCGUCUCUGUGAAUACAUUCUAGCCCGUAGCCUAGAUGCUUAAGCACCUCUCACUUUUACAAAAUACGUGAUCUGCUAGUUCUAUGACUCUUGCUUAUGUA